UGCUAAACAAGGUAAGACAGGACCAACGCA
rnacentral:piRNA from 1 species